AAACAAUCUUCAUCUCCUCGCCAUUACCAACAUGACUUCACAAUCAUCCACUGCCUCGAGCACUGUAAGUUCUUCGUAUCAACUUCUCCCAACACCCUCAGUGCAUUCUUUCUUAUCUUUUUCUAUAUGUUUUUGGCAUUCAUUUUCUUUACUCCUGUAUUUUGAGAAUAACAUCACCUUCAUCCUUUAGAAUCACAUUCAUAAAGUACGUCUGUUUGUAAAAAAAAAAAUUGCUAUUAUCAUUGGGCUUAUUACAGAUAAGGCAACCACUUAUCAGACCACCCGUUAUCUACUAGUUUAUAGUUGCGUUUCACCAUGACAAUGUAAGCUUAACUAUCUAUCUAUUUUCAUUCUUAUUGUUCAUUCAUUCACGUUGUAUCAAUACUCUUUUUAAAUGUUUUCUUGCAUGACAUUAUUGAAAUACCAUGCUUUUACCACCGACAGCGGGCACCGAACUAUCCACCAUUUGUUCACUUCAAAGACAACGGAGGCACUCACCAAAUCAAAGUCAGGCAACACCACAAGAAAUUUUACUUCGCUGAUGGACUGACGGAGUUCAGAAAAGACUUGCAAAUUUAUGAAUCUACUACCAUCAACUUUUAUGCUUGCGACCAAAACUGGAUAUUCAACUUACACUUCACACCGCCACUAGAACAGCAAACGUGCGGAAGACCUCGGCUAUCUACAAGAAAAUAUGUAUGGACUGUAGAAGUUACUCAAUCCAUGCUUGGUGCCCCUUAUCCACUGGCACUUCCACCCUGUGUUGUACCGUAUGUUGAUGCCUGUGUUCAACAUAUGAUAAUCCUGAGAAAAUAUGUCCCUCCCCUUCAAUGGAACGUGACCAUCAUUGACCCUGGCAUUGGCGAAAAAUCCAUUGUUCGACCUUAGUAUCAGUUUUUGGCAAAUAGUGAUUUCAUCCAUGGAGAUGAAAUUUCGUUUUACUUUAGGCCUUAUGAUAAAAUCUAGGAAAUAGUUAUCAGAAGGCAAAAAGAUUGGAAAGACAGUAACACAAAUUAAAUAUGGUUAUAGUUUGUUUCAUGUACAGACAAUAUUUUUUUUGUAAGCAUAAUAUUAUUAUAAAUAUUCAGUUCUCUUCUUUCGUUUCCUUUUA